UGAAUGACGUUGGUCAGUGUGCUCUGAGU
rnacentral:piRNA from 1 species